rnacentral:pre_miRNA from 11 species
AACUGCACGGAAAAAUAGAUUAUCCCGUGCGGUCGGCUUAAGACGUCCGCACGGAAUAAUAGAUUAUCCCGUGCGGUU